rnacentral:lncRNA from 1 species
GUAGUGAGGGGGCCGGGGCGUUAAUACACACACAGGUAGCGAGGAGGCCGGGGUGUCUGCUGCUGUUCCCAUGGCCCCGCUGUGCUGCGGGACAGUCCCUCGAGGUAACAGGUUGGCUGCCUCACACUUGAGGUUUUGUUUUUCCAGCCCUCAGGUGGAGUCUUCAUUCUUCUGUAGCUGGACCUGAUCUGGCCACAGCCGGCAUCCCCACAACGUCCCUACACCGAUUCUCCCGCUCAGGACUGGACAUGUAGCGUGUGGCACUUCCAAUCAAGGCCUCCACCAAGGCAGGUGUGACUUGCUGAAGGGCAGUUGGCUUCCCUUGAGGCUUGCAGGGCAGUGGACUGGAAUAACCAUGCCUGGUCCCCAUGAGAGCACUUCACUUCAUCUGAAUUCCUGGAAUGUGAGCUAAAAGCAGUAGGUGGGUGAGAGUUUUGUGAGGCGUUGAGGUCUGGCAGUAGGUGGUCUGUGGAAGAGAAGCGG